CCUCUUUCUCCUUUGUCUUUGCCUGGUGGCUGCCACAUGGUCAGACCUGAGUUUCCUUCCUGGUUGUGCACUUUUACCUGGUCAUCUUGGUGUCCAUUGAAUCAAGUGGUGUUAAGCGGGAUCAGCGGACAGCUGGGUAAAUGUAGCUAC